GUAGGGAAUAUUGGACAAUGGGGGAAACCCUGAUCCAGCAAUGCCGCGUGAGUGAAGAAGGCCUUAGGGUUGUAAAGCUCUUUCGCCGGUGAAGAUGAUGACUGUAGCCGGUAAAGAAGCCCCGGCUAACUCCGUGCCAGCAGCCGCGGUAAUACGGAGGGGGCUAGCGUUGUUCGGAAUUACUGGGCGUAAAGCGCACGUAGGCGGCGCAUCGAGUCAGGCGUGAAAGCCCUGGGCUUAACCUGGGGACUGCGCUUGAUACAGGUGCGCUAGAGUCCGGAAGGGGGUAGCGGAAUUCCAAGUGUAGAGGUGAAAUUCGUAGAUAUUUGGAAGAACACCGGUGGCGAAGGCGGCUACCUGGUCCGGAACUGACGCUGAGGUGCGAAAGCGUGGGGAGCAAACAGGAUUAGAUACCCCUGUAGUCC
rnacentral:rRNA from 1 species